ACAGCUCCAUGUGCGUCCCUCCCAAAGCUGCGCGCUCGGUCGAAGAGGACAACCUUCCCCAAUAGAGGAAAGGACUGCAUUUAUAUUUGAUUU